GGGAAAAUACGCGACGGGACAACGCGCGCGUAGGUGAACGUAUAUGUACACACGCGCGCGCGCACACACUGCAGUGCAUUGCGACCGAACUUCGCUCGGAAACGCGUUUUUCGCGGGCGACCCCGCGGGAUCCCGUCACCACGUUGUUGGACUUGUUCGCGCGCGAAAGUUCGAGCCAGCGGCGCGCCCGUCUAGCUCUGGGCAUCGGACCGAUAUUUUUCGUUCGGCGUUUUUUCGGCACUGCGGCCGUCGUGUGCACCCCGUAACGCGUUUACCGUAAUGAUAUCAUAAAGUGAAACAAAAAUUAUUAAAACGCUCAACACUCGUAAACAAAUAAUGCAAAUUACGUUAACGAAUCGGUCAACAUUUACAGUUUGAAUCGCGUUUUACAUGUUCACUGUGAUACACCCGAUGACGGGAUGUUUAAUUCGAAACCAGGUCGCGUAAAUACACUAAUCAUAGUACUCCGGGCGACGCUAUCGGUUGAUUCGUUUGUUUUCUUUUUAUGUGUGCAUUUUUUUUCGUUUGUAUAUCUAUUUACAUUAUGUAUUUAUUGUAUUGUAAAAUAUGACGUACGAUUAAUUACGGGUGAUAUUCAACACUGAGGAUUAUACUAUGGUAACACUCGCGGGGAAAAGUAUUUUUCAAAUUCGAUUGUAAAAAAAAAAAAAAAAAAAAAAACAUUAUUUUUAAUUGAUUGUCAGCGAAUCGACCGCUUGUUACGUAUAUUUAAUAUGACGUCAUGUCAUAAUAUACAUAUAUACGUAUAUACAUGUCCGCGAUACCCGCGAGUAUAAAACACACCGGUUUUCCGUGUACCCGUAUAUCCAUCCCGUACCCGUGUACCGUAAAAAAUGCGAAAUUUUAUCAAUUUAUAUUUGUUCCGG